AGAACGAACGCUGGCGGCAUGCCUAAUACAUGCAAGUCGAACGAGAUCUUCGGAUCUAGUGGCGCACGGGUGCGUAACGCGUGGGAAUCUACCCUUGGGUUCGGAAUAACAGUUGGAAACGACUGCUAAUACCGGAUGAUGACGAAAGUCCAAAGAUUUAUCGCCCAGGGAUGAGCCCGCGUAGGAUUAGCUAGUUGGUGAGGUAAAGGCUCACCAAGGCUACGAUCCUUAGCUGGUCUGAGAGGAUGAUCAGCCACACUGGGACUGAGACACGGCCCAGACUCCUACGGGAGGCAGCAGUAGGGAAUAUGGACAAUGGGGGCAACCCUGAUCCAGCAAUGCCGCGUGAGUGAUGAAGGCCUUAGGGUUGUAAAGCUCGUUUACCCGAGAUGAUAAUGACAGUAUCGGAGAAUAAGCUACCGGCUAACUCCGUGCCAGCAGCCGC
rnacentral:rRNA from 1 species